AAUUAACAGAAUUCAAAAUUAAUGAUAAUAAUAAUAUAUAAUUUAUAUAACAUGAAGCUACUAAUGAAAAGAAUGAAUUUUUUGGGGGGUAAUAACAUUUUGCUCAAUUGGAUAUGGUAGGAAAAAUAAAGAAUGACCCUGCAAAUAUGUCUACACCCUAACCCUUGUGUCCUUUAACUAUGCUGUAUAGCAAAAGGGAAGUUGCAGAUAUAAUUGAGCUUAUGGGUGUUAAUAUAGGGAUAAUGGCUUAGUUUAUCCAGGUGGGCCUAUUCUAAUUAAAUGAGCUCUUUUGUUUUUUAAGUUUAUUUACUUAUUUUUGAGAAAGGAGAGAGAGAGAGAGGCAGAAAGCAGAGACAGAGAGAAUCCCAAGAAGGUUCCAUAUGGUCAGUGUGGAGCCCAGCACAGGGCUCAAACUCACGAACCAUGAGAUCCUGAGAUCAUGACCUGAGCUAAGUCAAGAGUCCAAUGCUCAACUGACUGAGCCACCCAGACACCCCUUAAAUGAGCUCUUAAAAGCAGAGAGAAUGCUUUAGGCUAAAGUCAGAGAGAUGCAGGGAAGGAGAAGUAGAGAUUGGAAGUGUGAGAGGGGGCUGACCUGUGGUUGAUGGCUCCUGUGGAGGGGCCACAUGGAAAGCAUGAGAAAGAAUGUGGAGAGUAUUGCGGAGCUCCAGACUGGCCCCUGGCUGAUAGUCAUAAAGGAAAUGAGGGCUCCAGUUCCACACCCAUACAAACUGCGAUUGACCAACAAUCUAAAUGAGCUUAGAAGUGGAAUCACUCCCAGAGUUUCCAGAAAGGAACAUAGCUUUGCUGACACCUUGAUUUUGGCCUGUGGGAUUUGCAGCUGCAAAUCUGACUUAUAAAGCUGUAGCUUAUAAAGCUGUGAGACAAUAAGUGAGUAUUAUUUUAAGUCACUAAGUUGUGGUCAUUUGGGGUUUCAGAUUUAGUGUUCUCAAUCGUCAAAACUGAUUGCACAUGUCCACCUGUUAAUGUUGAUCUGUAAUGAGAUUUUGUGUAUAUUUCCUCUAUGAAAUGCCUUUUCCCAAAGAGAGGAACUGAUACUGAUGACCAUCCACAACCACGUUAUUUUAGCGCAUAUAGUUAACCUCUUAGAAGGAAUUGAUUGAUUCUAUUAGAUUCUCGUCUUGAUAUUUGCUUUACAUCAUUACAUUGCAAAGAAAUCAUGUCCAAUUGAAGGUUCUAUAGAAGAUCCUCAUUUGCACCAUUCAAUGGAUUAUAAAAUAUGUGCAUUUCCUUUGCACAUUCAUGAAGGUCUCCAUCGAUAACAUUUCCAUGUCCCCCAGUUGGAAGGUUGGGUCUCUCCAGUCAAUAUUGAUUGAUUUGCCUCAUUUAGCAUAGUUUAUCUGCUCAACAAAUAUGUCGAUUUGAUUUAAGAAAAUCUAUUUUAUGAAAACCCCAAGUUCCAUAAUGGGCUGCCAGCUACCCUCACCCAAACUGGAGUUCACAGACAUGAGGAAAAGACCAGGAGCAAACACACACUGAGGACAUCUUCAAGUAGCAAGUAUCCCACGGCCUCAGGGCACCUGGGUGGCUCAGUCAGUGAUGAAAUAACACAGAUAUUCUGAGCAGAUAUUCUCCAGUGAUGACUUACGGUUAGGGGUUCAUUUGGGAAAUUAUCUGAAACUGCCCAAAAGGCCUAGAUCCUAAAUUCCUAAGGUAAAGCUGACUUAGUGGUUGGUGAAUGGCACUAUCAUGCUUUUUCCUUAAUCUUAAUGCAUCGUCUUGCUAAAUGAAACAAUUUUGUAGUUAAAGUUAAUAGCGUAGCGUCAUAGGAUCUUAGAUGUACAAAGUGUCUCAAGUAUACCUUACAGUUUCCAAGAUGUGCUGAGCUUUGAUGGCAUAGGAUGAAGGCUUCAAUGAGAUGAUUGCCUCUGGAAUUGGGUCUGAAGUUGAAUUCCCAUCUCUUUCACUGGGUAAGGCUUGUCUUAUAUUUGCAUUUUUACACACUUUGUCUUAUUAAGGCUGAUACAUUAUAGCCCACCACUUAAAUUCAAUAUGUCAUUACAUCUUCUUCUAGAUGUGUUUCUAACCCAUUUUUGUCUGGAUAGAAGUCUAUUUGUUUCUGGGGCGCCUGGGUGACUCAGUCAGUUAAGCGUCUGAGUUCAGCUCAGGUCAUGAUCUCACUGGUUGUGGGUUCGAGUCCGGCCUCAGGCUCUGUGGACCUGGACCCUGCUUCAGAUUCUGUGUCUCCCUCUCUUUCUGCCUCCCCCCUUCUCAUGCUCUGUCUCUCUCUCUCUCAAAAAUAAAAACAAAUAAAAAAAAAAAGAAGUCUAGUUGUUUCCUUUGAAACUUUUCUUGGGGUGCCUAGGUAACUCAGUUGGUUGAAUAUCCGACUUUAGCUCAGGUCUUGAUCUCACAGUUCAUAGGGCUCUCGGCUGUCAGAGGGGAGCCUGCUUUGGAUCCUCUGUUCCCCUCUCACUCUGCCCCUUCCCUCCUCAAAAUAAAUAAACAUUAAAAAAAAAAAUAAACGCUAUUAUUCCACUAAACACUAUUGUGUUAGUAUUAUCUUAUUAGUCAAUAUUACUGUAUUAUCUGAGGUUUUCAAGUGCAUCCUUUUAGUUUGGUUUCUUUGCUUUGUUUGGGGAUUUAUUACUCUAGGCACAGCGCACCUCUAUUAUAUUCUGAUGUUAUGUAAUGCAUAUCUGCAAAUCGUUCCUGCUUGUUGCACUCUUCUGAUUAAGGCACUAUCAUGUUUUUCUUAUACUUGAUGUAUUUUAUUGAUAAAGAAAAUGAAUACAUUGUGAAACAUGAUAGUAUGUUAUCAUAGUUCUUUAGGCUAUUAAACUUUUUUUAAAUUUUUUUAAUGUUUAUUUUUGAGAGAGACAGAUAGAGUAUGAGUGGGGAAGGGGCAGAGAGAAAGAGGGAGACACAGAAUCUGAAACAGGAUCCAGGCUCUGAGCUGUUAGCGCAGAGCCCGACAUGGAGCUUGAACCCACAAACCAUGAGAUCAUGACCUGAGCCAAAGUCAGAUGCUUAUCUGACUGAGCCACCCAGGUGCCCCUGGGCUAUUAAAUAUUUUAAGAAUCAAUCUGGAUAAAUCCUCUUCUAAUAUUUAUUUGAAUCUCUCCUCCCACAUCCUUUUAAUUGGUCAUAUAUAUUCCAUAUUCUGAAUUUUUUUAAGUUCAUUUAUCUAAAUAAUUUCCACUACUCAACAUGGGGCUCGAGCUUACAACCCCAAGAUCAAGAGUCACAUGUUCUUCUGACUGAGCCAGGAGGAUGCCCCUAUAUUCUGAAUAUGUUUAAGAAUUCUUGAGGCGCCUGGGUGGUUCAAUCAAUUAAGGGUCCGACUUUGGCUCAGGUCAUGAUCUCAUGGGUCUUGGAUUUGAGUCCUGCCUUGGGCUCUCUGCUGACAGCUCAGAGCCUGGAGUUCGCUUUGGAUUCCACCUCCCUCUCUCUCUGCCCCUCCCUUGCUUGUGCUCUGUCUCUCAAAAAUAAAUAAACAUUAAAAAAAUUUUUUUGAAAAAGAAUUCUAUAAGGUUCUGUAACUGUAAACAUCAUUUGGUUUUAUUAAAAGUUUAUUCCUCAAAAAACUAAAUAUUGAUUUAAUUGUAUGACCCAUCAAUUCCACUUUUAGGUAUAUACCCCGAAGAAUUAAACACAGGGACUCAAAUAUACCUGUACAUUCAUGUUCAUAGGAGAGUUACUCACAAUAGCCAAAAGGUGGGAAAAUUCAACUCCCCAUCAACAGAUGAAUGGUCAACAAAAUGUGAUAUGUGUAUAAUGUAAUAUUAUUCAGCCAUAAAAAGGAAACAUGUUCUUAAACAUACUACAACUUGGAUGAAUCUUGGAAAAAAUAUAUCACAUGGGAAUAUAUAAAAAAAAGCCAGAUACAAAAUUACAAAUAUUGUAUGAUUGCACAUAUAUAAAAUAUCUAGAAGAGGCAAAUUAAAUUCGUAGAGAGAGCAGAAUAGAAGAUACCAGGGAUUGUGGGAGAAGGGAAUGGGAAAUUAUUGCUUAAUGGUUAGAGUCUCUGUUUGGGGUGAGGAAAAGUUUUGGAAAUAAAUGGCAUGAUGGUUGCACAACAUUGUGAAUAUAACUAAUGCCACUGAAUUGUAUACUUAAAAAAGGUGGAAAUGGUAAAUUUAUGUCAUGUAUAUAUCACCACAAUAAAAACAAAAUUGUUUUAAGUAUAUAAUGUGAUUUUCUGACUCUUUGGAAUCUAUGUUAUAAUUCUUUUAGGGCAGCAGCUAGCUUGAACAUUUGCUCUUUGGCUAUGCUGUGAGUAGAGCUUUCUGAAGUGGGCAUUCUGCUCCAGAAUUUAGAAUAUAAUUUGCUUAUAUGCAGAUUUAAUGUACUCCAGAGUGUUAAGUGCAUGUUGGUAUGCAAACAAGUGUCUGCAGAAGUGGAUUUUCUACUAAUAACCUCAUUUGAGAUGUCCCAUGAACAAUUUCUUUUAGUGGCCAUAUUAGUGGAGUUCAACACCACCUGCUGGGUUUGGAAUUUUCAACAUCAAGGUAAAUGAAGACAAAAUUAACUAUUAUUAAGGAUAAAUGGGCCAGGAAGAGCAUAGUUAAGCUAAAUAAUUACUGUAACAUGGCUUUUUAAAGUUGGAAACAAUCUGGGACUUUUAAUCCUCCCAAGAUAUCAACAUGACAGGUGGAAGAGGGAAUGUGAAAUCAUGUUUAACAUUCUGUUGCAUUUAAAACUUGGAUAGAGAUACUGGAAAAAGAAAUAGGUAUAAAUAUAAACAUUAAUUAAAAUAUGUAUUAAAUAAUAAUGUAAGUCACUAAUAUAAUGAAUAUAGAUUGUAAAAUGUCUAAACUCCUAGAGAAAAUUAGACUGACCCCAAAAGAGCGGAGCCUGAUGGCAAUAGGAUGUCUGUCUUUGCAUGGCAAUUCUUUCCCCUUCCUUCUAUUAAUGGAAUCUCAGAAUCUCCAGUCACCUUGACCCAAAUCUCAAGAAACAUCAUUGGUCUGACUGCAGGCACAUGAUCAAAACUAUGUCAGUCUGAAUCCCUUCCUGCAUCUUGAGGACAAGAUGGAAAGGAUUCUUUUUUUCCCCUCUCCAGACUGAGUUACAAGACUAUGAGACAAAGUUAUUACUGUUCAAGUAGGAGCAAAAUGGGAGAAAAGCCUGAAAGAUGCCAACAAAGAGAGGACGUGAGCUUGCUAAUAAGAAUGUGGAGCGAUUACCUGAUGCUGAUGAAGCCUUGAUAUUCUGUUAACACUGAGGUCAACUUCCCUUUUGCUGUUCUGUUUUGCUGGUUUCAACCUAUACAUAAACACACAUGUACCUUCUUAUUAGUUUGAAGCAUGUAUCUACUACUUGGAAUAGAGAAUCCUGACCAGAAGCUCAGGAAGAGAACAACUGACGUCAUAAGUUCACAUGGUAAAUUAACAACCCUGUUUAAAUUUCAUUAUACUGAAAUGAAUAAAUAAAAAUACAUCAAAAGGAAUCAAAGAAGAUAUGAAGGCUUAUAUUUUCCCAUGAGACAGAGAUCAUUGGGUUGGGUAAAAAAAAAAAAAAAAAAAAAAAAAAGUUAAACAAAGAAGCCCAGAAUAAAAGCAAAUAGACCAGGCAAACAACAUUGUUUAAAUAUUGUUUUCAAGAAACACACCCCAAAAAAAUGACACCAACUUUUAAAAUGCAGAAUGAAAAAAAAUACCAAGGAAAGACUUAUUUUAAAAACUGCUGUGACGAUAUUAAUACAAGAAAAAAACCAGAACUUAAUGUGAAGAUUUAUUUUGGAUAAAGAGGACUAUUUUAUUAUGAUACAAGGUGUAUUUUAAGAACUUACAACCAUCAGGGAUCUUUGGUUUUCUAGUCAUAUAAGUUUAAGAUAUGCAAAGUAAACCGGAGGGAACAUGUAAGGACUAGUACAGAAAAAAGUAACCAAAAUAGGAGAUGUUAACACUUCCUCUCAAAAAUCAUCAGAUCAGGCAGUGCAACCACAAUGUGAACAAACAUGACUCAUGGGAUGCUGUCAUAAAGGGACUCUAUUUUGCAUCUCACGUCCUUUUGCAUUUCUUCAGUGAGCCUAUUUUUUCCUUUUUCCUGGCUCUGGUUAACUGGGUAGCUACAUCAUUUACCCUAAAAAAAAAAAUAGUUCCUGUUUAUUUUGUCAAACACAGUCUCAAUUGAGCCAUUAAAGUGCUCAGUCCCAGGCCAUCAUUAAAAACUCUAAUCUUGAUGUAAGGCAUAUCCCGCUCUUCAUGCCGGGAGCUGCUGCGGGCAAACAUCUAAGCAAAGGAAACUGGUUGGCUUUUUUCCUCCCCUGUUUCUUCUACUUCUCUCUUCCUGGCUAACUGACACCUCUAAUUAACUGGGAUGGGUGGAUGACAAACCUCAGGCAGGCCAUGUUGUCUGGUUCAUGGAACUGCAAGCCUUUUCCUCGAGACAUUGGAAGAGCAGUUUCCUACCAAACUUCAAAUCACUCCUUUGCUCCUACAGAGGUCACUUUAGCCAGUAUGUUGUAUUCAAGCUUCCCCAACUUGACUCAGACCCCAAUGUACCGCUUUUGCCCUCAGACUUCAGGGUCCACAGGUUACACUCUGAGUAGCCACCUCCAAUCACCCUUCCAGUGAUGGAGGCUGGGGAGUAGCAUACUCCCCACUAUUGCUUCCUGUGGGAGAAGAGGGGUUGUGACUCAGAGGGAGGUCCAAUCUAGAGGAAUGUUCCUCAACAGUUUUCUCUAAAUUCAAAUCUUGACAUGUUAUAUCCUAGAUGUGUGGGUGGAACUGGAGAGCUGUCCAAAGUUUCAUAUACUUCCCUUGAAAAUUCUGCACUGUGGGUCUGCCGCCUAACCUUGAGAUGCAGUUUCUAGCAGGUUCUAGUAUUCACAAGUGUCAGCCCCAACUUCCAUUUUAAUAACUUCUGAAGUAAGACGAGAUGAAAAGUAUUUGAAUAACAACUUAUUCCCUGACUCUCUCUCCUUCUCAAUUGGCUCUCAGAGGAACAGUUACAGCCUUAAGUGCAUUUAUUAGAAAAAUGAAAUAAAAAGUUUAUUAAGCCUUUAAUAUGAGAU